CAGGGCCUGCUCCAUCCUGCAGGUUCUACAGUUUUACUUCUGCAUCCUGGUCCUGGUGGAUGGGAAGCAAUGAUGGCCUGAAGAUAGGCCAUACUUCUUGGUGGCCUGAAGGUGAAGUUCUUCAUCCACGCAUGAGUCUAUAAUGCAUUCUUGGUGAGAUGCAAGAGCACGCAGGGUAGAUUCGGGUUUGCUUCUCCAUGGGCGAUGUAGAUGGUGGCGCGUUGAGAGCUCCCAAGCAUCAAUUCUCUCACUGUUGGACAUAGAGGGAUCCCCAGGUUAGUCAAACCAAAUCAGGAUCCAAGUUCUCAUUUUUUUUCUGUGCGUCACCAUUGAUCUCUGGUCAUGUCAAAAUAAUUUCAAAUUGUUUAGUUUAUUACAUAGUAAAAGGCGUGUUUGUAAGUCCUGAUCUGGUGCUUAUUUCAAUUCAACAAAAAAUAGCAUGUUGGUCAUACUCGACUGACUGAUGGUCCAUUCAAUUUUCUCACAAUGUUAGUCUACAAUUUCUAUCUGAGAUGCUUCUACCUUCAUAGACUUUGUCCUUUUGUAGAAUCUCAUUCUGUAACUCAUUGGAAAGAAUUAUAGUAAUCUAAUUGGCUAAUCAUAUUCUUUUUAAGCAACUGGAAUCUAAGCAAAAUUAAUUUUCACAUAACUGAAGACCACGAAUCUAAGCCUGUCCUGACUAAAGCUGUAAAUGCUAUAAUUGUUUUUUUCCUACCAAUAAAAUUCUACCUACAACAUCAUAAAUUCUAUCAUCCUUUUAAUUUACUUUGCACCGCAUAUUGUGUUUGGUUCAUUCAGUUGAACCAGUUCAGUGGACAGCGGUACAUGUAUGUUAAAGCAUUAAGAAACAGCUACUUGCUUACACCUGUGUUGAUAAUUAAUGCUUGAGCAUCCUUUUCAUGGUGCUUUUACUAAUCAGCUUGGCUAAUUCACAUAUGUCUGCCAAGUGGACGUGUAUAUUAGCCACAUGUUAUCAAAGUGAUUUCCAGUAAUUCAAUACACCGAAUUUGUUUGGUACCUUUUAUCCCUUUCUUCUGGUGUAAUUUUGUUGGUUAUUUUGUUUCUUUUACUUUCAGCAUCAGAUCUAGAGUAUAUCUGAAAUUAUAGAUGCAUACACCAAAUUACGUACGCACUGUACAUCUGCAAUUCUGAAUGUUCUGCUUCUGCAUUUCUUUUUUCUUUUAGGUUGCAGAUUGAUUUUUUUUUCCAUUUAGUGAAAUGGAGAAAGGUUUCUUUUAUCCAGGAGACAUUGAGCGAGGGAAGGGAGUGGCAGUAGCGAGGAGGGAUGAGGAAUGGACUGGCUCGGCCAGAGUAGAAGAGCCGGUGUGGCCAAGCUGAAGCAGAGUUGUUCAUCGGCAACAAAGUCGACAAGGCGUAUGCUGCUUGAGAGCAAAACCAGUUUGAGCUUUCCUGUACUUCAAACAUGAAAAAUAAGUAGGUUCUUUUGCCUGCAGUUCAAAUAUAAAAUGGGUCACAUCUGAGGAACCAUUUGAUAUUUAUGCUUCCCUGUUUCCCUUUUUAAGUAGCAGAGAUUAAUCAGCAUUGGAGGCGGAAAAGGCAGUCUGAUGUCCAUGUUUUUAUUAUCUCAAUGAAACCAAUCAACAGACUAUUUCUGAAAGAUGAAAUUGCUUCAUAUUUUGCUAAUAUAUAUCAAGCAUUAGUGAACCUUACAAAUUACAAGCAUCCUUCCCUGCUGAAAUAUUAUUGUCAUAUUGGCUUGCAAAGUAUCUUGUUUUCUGAAUAGAGGGUAGCAACAUUUUGUGAAUCUCAACAAUUGGGUUUGAAUUGGAAUGAGCAAAUGUGAAUUCCAAGAAUGCUCAUAAUUUAAC
rnacentral:lncRNA from 1 species